rnacentral:lncRNA from 1 species
UUUUGGCUUUGGAGUUGAAUUGGUUGAAUUAUCUUGUCGAAUUUGCUUUAACGCAAUCUGCAGUCAGAGGACAAUGUACUUGCAUUAGAUCUAGUGCAUUUCAAAUUGACAUGGUAGGGAAACUUAAAAAGCAAUGCAACUAGAACUCUCAAAACUCUAAACUGUGAAUAGCAACCAGACCUUAAAUGCGCCGGAGAAAAAAUCAGAGACAUUUGGCAAUCGUCCUUCCUUAGCAAGUACCGACCCAACAAUGCCUGCACCACAUAUGAGAUAGAUUAUUUGAUACCAACGACACACUUGUUUUACCUUGCGAUCUUCAAGACUAAAAGGAUGCCGGAUGAGUGGAGGUGGAGUACAGUGGUGCCCUUGUA